UUACACGAUGCUCCAAAUUUAUUAAAAAUCACUGAUUUGUAUACUCUGAAUAGAUGAAUGGAUAUUAAACACAUCAUACCUCAAUAUGAUUUUUUUAAGGAAAUUAUACUCUCCUUCAUAUUGCUUGAGAGUUGUUUAAAUAAGUGUCAGUGUCACUCAAUCCUGGGCAUUGAUUCUUUCAAUCUUUUAUUCCAACCAGACAGGUUUGAAAAACUCACAUCUCAUUAUUCUUAAUAAUAAACAUUUCUUUGAUUUCUAGUAAACCUAAGUAUUUCCUUCUAUUGAAUUUGUUAUUUUCUUAUAAGGAUAGACAUGUUUUCUACAAGGACAUGUGAGGCUCUUCAUCUUUUAAAAAAUAGCACACUUUUUUCAGUGAUAUGUGGUAUAAAUAUUUUUUCCCAGUUUUUCUUACAUUUUAAGAUGUUGUUAACAGGAUUUUUUUUUUCUUGGCCAUAUUAACCUAUUCACUUUCAUGGAGACAAAUUCAUCUGUAUUUUCAUUUACAGAGUCUGUCUCUGGUGUUAUGUGAUAUACUUUUGAAAGAAAUCAGAACUCUUGCACCCCUAUGUCAAACUCAGCACUACUAGGCUUUUCCAUUUUAUGAAAAGAAGUAAAACAUAAUUUCAAAUCUCAAAGCUACAGAUCAACAGACUUUUCUUCCUAAACCCUCUUUUUUUUUUUUGCUUUUUAGUGCUGAAAGUGCAGCAUACAGGAGUCCCAGGCUAGGAGUUGAGCCUACACCACAGCCACAGCAAUGCCAGAUCCAAGCUGUGUCUGUGACCUACACCACAGCUCACGGCAACGCAGGAUCCUUAACCCACUGAGCAAGGCCAGGGAUCGAACCUGCAUCCUCAUGGACACUAGUGGGAUUCGUUUCCAUCUCACCAUAACGAGCACUUCCUAAACCUCCAUUUUUAAGUAUAGAGAGACACUGGUGUUUAUAACCCAAGUCCCUGGAAAACUGCCUCAUUAGAGAACGUCUGAUGUGACACGCUAGACAUCUCCAACAGUUCCAUUGAGGAGGAACUGGAAAAAUUCAAAGAUGGAUGUGAAAAUGGGUUUGCUGUUGCGAGUCAUACCAGGACCAUGGCUCUGGGCCUCACUGGCUAAGGCUUCUCUGAACAUCAGUUCAUCACAUAACAAGCAUUUGCAGAUGUCUGACCAGCAUAGUCUAGAACUAAGCCACUCAUUGUCCCGCCACUACCUGAGUCCACAAAUAUUAUCAUUUCCCUUUCUGUUUCACUCAGUAUGUCAGUAAUGAGUUCCCAUCAAUUAGGUAAUGAAUACAAGAAAGUCAAAUUUAUUUCAAUCUCACUAACUCAGGAAGAGAUUUAACAGCAACUUUAUUUUUAUUUAUUUAUCUGUUUCGUCAUUUUAGGGCCAUACCUGUGGUAUAUGGAGGUUCCCAGCUAGGGGUCCAAUGGGAGCUGCAGCUGCUGGCCUACACCACAGCCACAACAACGCCAGAUCAGAGCUGCGUCUGUGACCUACACCACAAGUCAUGGCAAUGCCAGCUCCCUAACCCACUGAGGCCAGGGAUGGAAACUGCGUCUUCAAGGAUGCUAGUUGGAUUUGUUUCCACUGAGCCACGAUGGGAAUUCCUAACAGCAACUUUAGAACUCAUCUCUGUUGAGCGCUGUUCUGCUUCAAAAAAUACUACUGCAGUUAUAAAAACCAUGUGGUCUUGUGUAGCUAUGACUAUCACACAUGAAGAUAUAGACAAAAGUCACAAAGAUAGGAUUAAGAAAUGGCAUAAGAAUGUUUUAUGUUAAUGUGGUUACUGUGGCCUUGAAAGUGGAUACCUGAGACCUUUUAAGAAAUAAUCAGAAGAGGCACUGAAAUGCCUGAACACAGAAAAUGACUGUUAGAGUCUCACCCACAGUUUCAAGACUGGCUCCAAGUCCACCUUCUUUCCUUAUCUAUCCUACUGCUUUCAAAUCUAUACUAUAUAUCUGGGACAUAUAUAUAGGCUUAACUUCAUUCAACUGUCUUGCACCUGCCACUCUUAGCACUUGGAAGUUCGAUGAGAGCAACUUUGUGUUCCUGGGGCAGGAAAUCAGUACUAGGAUUCUAGAUGCUUUUAUUGACUUUCUUAGUGCUGUUUCUUACUCUGCAGAACAGCCUCAACAGUGCUCAUUAAAUAACAUAUUUUGGUUUCUGGGAAAAGUUGGAAAAAAGAAGCCAAGAUGGCAAAAAAAAGUAUUAUGGGGGCACUUUCAAAACUUACUAUAAUGUAGAACAGGUAGUGCGUUAGCCAUAAAAAUAUCGUGGAGUAGUAUGUAAAUAACCCAGCUUCCCAGAUCUCAAAAAGCAACGUCCAGAUUGUCUCCAUUUUCUUGCAUCUAGGCAGGUUUUACCUAAUGUCUAUGGUUGCCUACAUAAGUUCCAGUGAAUUCCAGGGUCCCAUGGCGGGGGGGCUCCAAGGUUUGGCUUGUAGGCUGGAUGACCAUGUAGCCAUGUUUAAUUUGUAGCUGCUCCUGUCCAGUUACCAGCCCAGGUCUUUGGGCUGCAGGAAUUAAUGAAAAGCCUUUCUAUUAAUCAAGGAGAGGUUUCCCACCUCUGAAAACACUCUGAUAUUCUGAGCGACAACACAUAUAUGCCUGCACACAGUUCUGCCCUGAGUUCCAGGAUGUCUGGUUAGCUUCUUGGGGUGUCCUGCCUUCCAGGAAAAUAAAGUAAUAAUCAAGUCAGUUCCUCUGCUUUUCAACCCUUCUGUUUCCUUAAGACAGGUGGGCAGUGAGGACAAUGUUUAAGAAUAAUGUUUUUCCAACCCUGAGUCGAACAACAAGGAUUCCAGAACAUCAGGGUCCAUUAUAAUAAAGAAACUGUGCCCAUCUAACUUACUAUUUGUCUAAAUUUGUUAAUAAUUCCCAGGAAAGGAGAUGGCACCAAUUCACUCUGUAACCCAUUUCUUGACAACUCUACUAGAAUUCCCAACCUUGUAAUGAAACCACAGAUAAAUGUUGAAAAUGUUGGCCUCCUUCUAAUGUUCUCAUUCUAGUACUGGAAAAACAACACUUUCAUAAAAAUUAAAUUUAAAUAGUGAAUCUAAAGUAUUAGUAUUCUUAAUAGGCCAUCCAUUAUCUUAGGCUUUGCAUUUCAAAUUCUUCUUGACCCACUCACCACUAAAUGAAGAGCAUGAGUAAAUAAGAUAAGGCCUUUAGAUCUACAGGGUCUAAUUAAAUCUUUGGUACUAGCUAUUGGUUGGUGAGGCCGUUGGGUAAUUCGUGUCUCUAAGCUGCAGUUCAACUGCCAUAACACCUGUCCAGGUGUUCUGAGAAUUAAAUGAGAUGUUAAAUCAAACUCUACCCACAAUAUGAGGCGCAGAGUGUGUCCACAAACUCUAAGAUCUAAAAACUUUUAAAGAUUAUUUUUUUUAAAUGGAGGACACAAGCCUCCACCACAUUCUUAGCAAAGACAGGUUAAAAAGGCAAAAGCGUCUGCACUGCUAAACUUCAAUAUUUUAAUAUUCACUUAACACAAAUCAUUCCACCAUCUUUAAUCGAUAAAGCAGAAUAUUAUUUGCCAUUUUGCUUCAAAUGUAGUAUCUUCACUGGUGAACACGAGGGCAGGCAGUGAGAGGGUGCAAAAGCAUUUUCUUAGAAACAGCUGCCAAACCGCGGUUUUUCCUCAGGGUGGGGAAAAGCCUUCCUUCCCUUCCCUCCCUGGGACAAUGACAAGUGGCGGCCGGACUCCGAGGGAAACGUGCCUCCCAGUGCGAUGCCUGCUUCAGAGGUUUAAGGACAACAACGGAAAAGGAGGAGUCUCACAGAGGGAAAAUCCGAGGCCCGUGGAGACAGGGGACCACCUCCUAGAAAACCUAGAUGGAUCCUCAUCAGGGACAGUUUCUCGCCCGUUGCGUGGGGAGCGUAAACCUUCUGCCCAGGCUAAUAUCAGAAAGGCAGGUCAGAGAGAUUGCACAUGAAAAAAGACUCAACCUGCCGCUUCUGGAUUUAAAGAAGAAGGGACCAUGAGCCAAGGAAGGCAGGUGGCCUCUAUAACCUGGAGAAUGCAAGGGAACAGAUUCUCCUCCAGAGCCUCUAAGAAGGAACGCCUUAAUCCUGGCCCAGUGGGACAUGUUGAACUUCUCACCCAUAGAACUUCCACAGAUCCAUUACCAACGCAGUGGACGAUUCACACUGGAAUGCUGAGUAGUGAGGAAGAAAGAUCCCUUCAGAGGAAGCAGAUGGUAAAAUAAGGCACAAGGACAAAACAGUAUGAGAAAAAGAAUGUAUAUGUAUGUAUAACUGGGUCACUUUGCUGUGCAGCAGAAAUUGAAGGAACAUGGUAAAUCAACUAUAAUUUAAGAAAUUAGGAAAAGAAAGAGAGAAGACAUGAGGGAUGACUCUGGGCAGAGAUAAGGUGACUCCUUGAAAAUUCUUUCCCUGCCUGUUUCAGUCCACAAACAUGUUUGUAGUUGCAGUUGAACUUCCCUGAGACUCUGAUCCAUUCCAGAGGCUGGUAAAAAUGCAACCAUUUAGCUACAAAGGAAAAUCUCUGAGCACUAGAAGCAUAGCCAACCAGAAGACAGUCCCAAGGAAAUCACCCGGCAACAAUAAGAGAGUUGAGAACAAAGCAACCCAGUAACCAAAACAGAACCCAGACAUACUAAGGAAAGAAAGGGAUGUUCAGGCAAGGAUGCUCUGUGUCAGGUUCAAGUCAGCAGUGACACAAGACUUGUAUUUGCUCACUCAUAUUUAAUGAAUGCAGUGCUUUUCCAAGAAUUAUCCAGUUCUAGGUUGAAUAAGAAACAGUCUCUUUCUUCAAUAAAAUGAUGAUAAUGGAAUAUUAUUCACCCAUAAAAAGAAAUAAUGCCAUUUGCGGCAACAUGGAUGGAC